rnacentral:lncRNA from 1 species
AAUAAAUAGAUGCACUCUAGUAGAUGAAAGUAAUGUACAAAAAAUUAAUAUAUACCUACUUUCUGUUUACAGUAUUCAGUUUUUAACUGUCCUUACAUUUCAAUUUGUCAUAAAACUUGAGGACAAUUUUUACGUAUAUAUUAAAAUAUUCUUGAUGUUAGAACAUUUCUGUGGAAACUGGCUUUAACUUAUAAAUAUCCUUAUUCAUGAACAUCUUUAUUUAUAAUUUAUUGAUUUUUUUAUUGCCUAACCAAUAGUAUUUUGUCAAAAGCAGAAUAUCCACUAAAAAUUACUUAUUUCACCAUAUGACAUGUGUUCAAAGCUAGGGAAAUAUUUAGACUUUUCAACUUCAAAAUAAGCACCAGUACUGACAUCCUAUCCACCCUCUUUUGACACCAUCUGUUUACAUUUUAAGCUCAGUUAUCAGAACUCAGUCUCUGACAUCACUCAGCUGCUGAGAUGAGUAACCAGCAAGUCGUGUACUCAGAACUUAAUCUGGCCAAGGAUCCAAAGAAACAGCAAAGGAAACCUAAGGCUUCCAAAAGAUCCAUUCCAGUAAAUCAGCAGGAAAUAACUUAUGCAGAAUUAAUCCUUCAGAACGCUUCUCAGGAGCAUCGAGGGAAUGACAAGGACCACAACUGCAAAGAUUUCACAUCACCUCCUGAGAAACUUCUUGCUGGAUUCCUGGGAACCACAUGCCUUAUCUUAACAGUCACAGUGAUAGUGACAGCUGUAACUUUCUGUAAGUGUAGUUUGGAAAGAUUGUAUAAGAAUGUU